GACGAACGCUGGCGGCGUGCCUAAUACAUGCAAGUUGAGCGCUGAAGGUUGGUACUUGUCCCAACUGGCUGAGCAGCGAACGGGUGAGUAACGCGUGGGAAUCUGCCUUUGAGCGGGGGGCAACAUUUGGAAACGAAUGCUAAUACCGCAUAAAAACUUUAAACACCAGUUUUAAGGUUGAAAGAUGCAAUUGCAUCACUUAAAGAUGAUCCCGCGUUGUAUUUGCUAGUUGGGGAGGUAAAGGCUCACCAAGGCGAUGAUACAUAGCCGACCUGAGAGGGUGAUCGGCCACAUUGGGACUGAGACACGGCCCAAACUCCUACGGGAGGCAGCAGUAGGGAAUCUUCGGCAAUGGACGAAAGUCUGACCGAGCAACGCCGCGUGAGUGAAGAAGGGUUUCGGAUCGUAAAACUCUGUUGGUAGAGAAGAACGUUGGUGAGAGUGGAAAGCUCAUCAAGUGACGGUAACUACCCAGAAAGGGACGGCUAACUACGUG
rnacentral:rRNA from 1 species